GUCUUGGUCCCCCCAACACUUUCUACCUAGCUCCGCCACUGCAGGAGGUGGCCGCCGUUGUGGCCAUGGAGGGCUCGCCAGCCGCCUUCGGAGUCCCACAACCCCAAGCUUGACGGGAUUUCCAGGCGCCGUCCCAACCCUCCGUACUCACACUUCCACCUCUCGAACACCUCGCGAGCCGCCAUCUUCAGCCGUCCCCAAGCGAGUCGACAUCUCUUCCCAACCCGGCGCACAAGAUUCUCCAUGCUCAAAUCAAGAUCAAGGCUAUGAGGACGUUCUCAAAUAGAGAGAUCAGUCUGAGGGUGAGCCCACGGAGGGCGCUUGUGUUGAUAGAGCACGCUGGUGGAGGUCGACCACAACUCGGCUGGCGCAACAGUGAGUUAUAGGGGCAGCUAUGGGAGCCGAUGUUGGGGGAGCACGGAGGCCUUUGCAGGGAUUGCAUUGGUGUGCUGCGGGAUGAGCUGGAGUUGGCUCCUGGCGGUGUUGGUUCAGGCUGAUGUGUGCAUCACCAAACGAAGAAGUAGGCAUCCACUGAGAAGAAAUUCAUCAGAGUUCUCAAGUUGAAGUCAAAUUGACCAGCUACGUUUUAAAGGUAACAUCUAGAUUAUAUCUAAGAUGAUAGUUUGAUCCGCAGAUUGGAAGAAAUCGCACAUAGUAGAUGCAGUUUGUAUUUUAGAAAUAAAGGCAACAGUUUAAAUUGAGAUCUGGGACUAAGUGGUUCAUAAUUUAUACAUGUCCCCAACGUUAAUAUUGCAGUCUUUGUCAUACGCUUUGCAAUGGUAUUGGUUUUGGUUAAUUCUGAAUUAAAAUCUUUUAAAAGUAGAGCAACCAAAAGUAGAAUUUUGUUUCGCAUCUAUAAUAGCAUCACUCGAAGCCUAGAAAUUCUACUUUUAGAAAUUUUGUUUCUGAUUAUUUGCACAUGGGACUAUUAGUACUGAUGCUACAACUGAAGCCUAGAAAUUUUUACUCACCAUGCACGACCAAAUGUGGUGCCAAGAGUUGACAUCUAACUUGCAUGCAUUAGUAGUAAUUUCUGCACCUGUUUGAAACUGUCUUAUACGGAUAAAAUAAACAAUAUUUUCCAUGGGUUUUUAAACUGAGUGAUACAGUUUCUAGAGUGGUGGUUUGAGGUAUGUUACUAACUUUUCUAAAUGUUGUUACUGUCUUCUUUAACGCUGGGGUUCCCCUGCUCUUCAUGGAAGUUGCUCUCGUCAAAGACAUGGUCACAUUUUACUUUUUUGAAGAAGAGAAGACAUGUCACAUCUAUAAAGGUUAUUGAAGUUUGGCAUGGCACUCUACUCCGUUGCACCUUAUGUUCUACAGCAGUAGAUUUUGUUAGAUGUCCCUCCAAUUACUGAAUGUGAAGCUAAAUGUGCACUGUUUUACUCAUAUCGUCAACCCAUGUCAACAAGGUUUAUGAGGUCCCUGAGUUUUGUGGCGGCACAGAUCCUUUCUUCCCUGCAUCACCCUCCACACCUUAACAACCACUCAUUUGAAGACAGAAAUGGUGCUCCAAGGCCCAAACCUGUUCAACCCUGGCUCAUGGCAACUAUGGUUUGCUCCGUAGCGAACCAUGGGAAUGGGUCGCGAGCGCAAGAAGCAUCAUCGAUGGCGCCAAUAACAUCCAGCAAUACACUGAUGUGUCCUUCCCAACGGUGGUUCACUUCUUUUCCCAGCCUCAUAUAUACUGCAUUACUGCGUAUGUAGGUGGUGACAGUAUGACAACGACAACAGGGGAAAUAGGUUUUAUUAGAUUAUCUAUCACAAAAGUGUAUUCAGUGGAGCAAGGCAUGCAGAUUUAACUAAUCGGUAAAUUAAACCUUGAAUCUGAAUGAAGGGCUCCUUGAUUUAUUUGUCCACAAGUAGUCCAAUGAUUCAUUGCUUUAGACUUCAGUGUUUUUUGAUUAUUACGGGCAACAACCCUGCUUUUGAGCACGCCCAAACAAGUUGAAUCAGGAUCUCUUCUUUUGGUUGUUCAAGUUUGUGGUAAAUUAUAAUGAACGGUUGUAUUUCCAGUGGCACCUAAAUAUAUUGGUUGGUCUGCACCGUACUCUGCUCGUAUUGAUUGAUGAUCACAAGUCACAACCCAAUCUUAAAUAUAUUUGAUUUGUUUCGUUUAGUGUUGGAUGGUGCAAAUUAAAAGAAAUUGUACUGCCAUUCAUCAAUUUACUACUCAGUCAGGCCUGAAUGCAUGACUUCUGUCUGUUAGAGAAUCUGCGCCUGAAUGCGUCGUCGCCUGGACUUUUGGAUCUUAUCCAAUUGUCUGGUCAUCAUUCCGUUAGCUGUUUGACUGGAGCACAUUCUCUCUCUCGAGGAGGCGAUGAAUCUAACUGAACCUUCUUAGCUUAGAAACAAAAGUCGUUCUCUCGAUGAACCGAGAAUUAUUGCGGUCAAUUUGUCAGCCAUUGUCUUCCUUCUGUACUUCAAUUCUUAGUUUGUGUUGAGUUGGGGGCUUUUUACAGUUGAGGACACUCAUCUUGCUAAUUAAAUUGUGUGGAAAAUCUUACAUGGGCAGUUUAAUUGUGUGAUUGCUGAGUGGUCCAGUGAGUAGUGCUUCUAUAAGCAAGGGAAUGAUAGAAUGAUGCACGAUUCUGCAGGUUAUACGAGCCGCUGACAAAGACACACCUCUAUUCUGAAUUUUUACAUGCGAAGAUGGACCAUCAGCUACGGAAUAUGUUGGCUAACCUCUCACAGGUUGCUAACAAAUUUUUUCUUAUUUUCAUCUUGGUAAUUGACAUUGGUGGUAUUGUCUUUUAGUUCAACAGAAAGUUGUUCAAGUGAAAAUGCAGAGGAACAUGUGGAACAAAAGACAUGGUAUAAAAAGGAACGGAAGGACUAAACAGUACAAUGAUGCAGGUUCAGGUUUCA